rnacentral:rRNA from 1 species
AUUGAACGCUGGCGGCAGGCCUAACACAUGCAAGUCGAGCGGAUGAAGGGUGCUUGCUCCUGGAUUCAGCGUCGGACGGGUGUGUAAUGCCUAGGAAUCUGCCUGGUAGUGGGGUAUAACGUCCUGAAACGGGCGCUAAUACCGCCUACGUCCUGAGGGAGAAAGUGGGGGAUCUUUGGACCUCACGCUAUCAUAUGUGCCUAGGUCGGAUUUGCUAGUUGGUGGGGUAAAGGCCUACCAAGGGGACGAUGCGUAACUGGUGUGAGAGGAUGAUAAGUCAAAAUGGAAGGGAGACACGGUCCAGAGACCUACGGGAGGCAGCAGUGGGGAAUAUUGGACAAUGGGCGAAAGCAUGAUACAGCAAAGCCGCGGGUGUGAAGAAGGUCUUAGGAUUGGAAAGAACUUUAAGGUGGGAGGAAGGGAAGUAAGUUAAUACCUAGCUGUUGUGACGUUACCAACAGAAUAAGCACCGGCUAACUACGUG